UACCAGCUGGCUGCAACUGUUUAUUAAAAACACAGCACUGUGCAAACACGAAAGUGGACGUAUACGGUGUGACGCCUGCCCGGUGCCGGAAGGUUAAUUGAUGGGGUCAGCGCAAGCGAAGCUCCUGAUCGAAGCCCCGGUAAACGGCGGCCGUAACUAUAACGGUCCUAAGGUAGCGAAAUUCCUUGUCGGGUAAGUUCCGACCUGCACGAAUGGCGUAAUGAUGGCCAGGCUGUCUCCACCCGAGACUCAGUGAAAUUGAACUCGCUGUGAAGAUGCAGUGUACCCGCGGCAAGACGGAAAGACCCCGUGAACCUUUACUAUAGCUUGACACUGAACAUUGAGCCUUGAUGUGUAGGAUAGGUGGGAGGCUUUGAAGUGUGGACGCCAGUCUGCAUGGAGCCGACCUUGAAAUACCACCCUUUAAUGUUUGAUGUUCUAACGUGGACCCGUGAUCCGGGUUGCGGACAGUGUCUGGUGGGUAGUUUGACUGGGGCGGUCUCCUCCUAAAGAGUAACGGAGGAGCACGAAGGUUGGCUAAUCCUGGUCGGACAUCAGGAGGUUAGUGCAAUGGCAUAAGCCAGCUUGACUGCGAGCGUGACGGCGCGAGCAGGUGCGAAAGCAGGUCAUAGUGAUCCGGUGGUUCUGAAUGGAAGGGCCAUCGCUCAACGGAUAAAAGGUACUCCGGGGAUAACAGGCUGAUACCGCCCAAGAGUUCAUAUCGACGGCGGUGUUUGGCACCUCGAUGUCGGCUCAUCACAUCCUGGGGCUGAAGUAGGUCCCAAGGGUAUGGCUGUUCGCCAUUUAAAGUGGUACGCGAGCUGGGUUUAGAACGUCGUGAGACAGUUCGGUCCCUAUCUGCCGUGGGCGCUGGAGAACUGAGGGGGGCUGCUCCUAGUACGAGAGGACCGGAGUGGACGCAUCACUGGUGUUCGGGUUGUCAUGCCAAUGGCACUGCCCGGUAGCUAAAUGCGGAAGAGAUAAGUGCUGAAAGCAUCUAAGCACGAAACUUGCCCCGAGAUGAGUUCUCCCUGAGACUUUAGGUCUCCUGAAGGAACGUUGAAGACGACGACGUUGAUAGGCCGGGUGUGUAAGCGCAGCGAUGCGUUGAGCUAACCGGUACUAAUGAACCGUGAGGCUUAACCUUACAACGCCG
rnacentral:rRNA from 1 species